rnacentral:rRNA from 1 species
UGAGGGGGGCUGCUCCUAGUACGAGAGGACCGGAGUGGACGCAUCACUGGUGUUCGGGUUGUCAUGCCAAUGGCACUGCCCGGUAGCUAAAUGCGGAAGAGAUAAGUGCUGAAAGCAUCUAAGCACGAAACUGGCCCCGAGAUGAGUUCUCCCUGACUCCUUGAGAGUCCUGAAGGAACGUUGAAGACGACGACGUUGAUAGGCCGGGUGUGUAAGCGCAGCGAUGCGUUGAGCUAACCGGUACUAAUGAACCGUGAGGCUUAACCUUACAACGCCGAAG